rnacentral:lncRNA from 1 species
GACUUAGUGGUGUGUUUCUUUACACAUAUUCAAUGUAUAGUGAUUAUAACAUUAAUGAUAGUGCUCUAUAUUUUACGAUUAUAACAUCAGAACACCUAAAUCUUACAACUAGUUUGCGAAUUACUAUGAUUUGAAGUUUAUGGUGAACAACCACAUGACUUGAAUUUAUGCAUCUUUGACAUUAAGGUUAUCGGACCCUGAGCCCGGAUGUUGAAGAAGGUAUCUGUCAGGUGCUAGCUCACAUGUGGUU